GCCGGGAGCUCCUCGGGCGCCGGGUCGGGCGCUUCCUUGGCCGUGCGGCACCGGGGGUGGCUCUUCUCCGGCCCCUGCGUUCGGGACCCCUUCGCGCUCCCGGGGGGGCCUCUGCUGUCACGAGAGCAAACGGGUGGCUCCCGGUGUUGGAAGCGGGAUUUCUCGCUCUCGGCGGCUCUUCCACGCGCGGCACCGCACGAAACAGCCCAGGCGCCUUCGGCAGCGGCACAGAAACUCGUCCCGGAGGCUCACGAUGGUGGUGAGAGGAGCAGACCUACCUGCGCCCCGCGACCGGCCUAACGGCUCCCGCUCGAGUCGGAGACCCCACGGCCUCCGGACGGAGGCAGCCGCUCGCUGGGGACGCGCUCGGGGACGGGGUCCCCUCCGGCCUGCCCCUCCGCGGCAGCGUGACCCAGGCUGGGCAGCGGACAGAGACAGGAACAGAAAACUGCCCCGACCGAGCGGCCGGACCAAACGCUGCCUCGACAGCCGCAGCACCUCCAUGACGCAGGGACAGCGCUAAGACUCGGAGAAGCUACGACACUAACGGCAGCCCCCCGCCCACCGGCCUGGCUCCGGAAAGGCCUCAUCCUCCCUUGGAGAAGAGGGGAGGCAGCCUGGGACGGCGGUGCGACCGCGAUGAAAACCCAGCAGUUUCGCCGUCGGCGGCAUCCGCAGCAGGUUUUCUUGAUGCACAUCACACCCAAUCUGGUAAUUCCCUAAAAAUACCAUGUAUUUUUACCUGACUUUUAUGUUUGCCGGCUGGCUGGCCUUGAAUACAGAGCGUUACUCGUGAGUGCGAUACAGUUUUCUUCCACCACCAGCAACACCCGACAUUUAAAAUGCCUCAAAAAUAGCAUUAAGUGAAACUGUGCCCUCCCUCUCCAGAACAUGUAGCAUAUAUUCAAGAAAUAUUCUCACACUGCAAAAUUGCGUAAUUACUAGACGAGCCUGCAACUUUUUCCUGUUUCACAAGAAACUCGAGUUUCUCAGCCACGUGAGGCGACACGGCCACGCGACACGGGGCGUUUGGGGUGACAGAGGACCCAUUCCGAUCCGCUCCCGAAGGCGCUGCUCCAGCAACACCCCGGCACCACCGGGAAGCAGACGUGACCCUGCCCGGGAAUCGCCAGGGAAGCCUGCCUGGCGCAGACGACCCCGCGCCACCGCCGCUCGCUUCGUGCCACCCUCACCGUCUCCUCCGCGCAUGAGCUGUGGCCGCGGGGGACGGAGCGGGGAGAGAGGGGGACGUGGCCUGAGAAACUGUAAAACAGACAGAGGACCCACUGUACAGAAAGCAAUGACCCAGCACUCCCAAGCCCUGCAGCCCAGCGGAGCUGUCUCUACGCUCCCCUCCCCGAAACCAGGACCCUGACCCCCGGCAGACGAACUCGCGCUCGCGUGCCCCGGCGCGGAGGGCGAGAGGAGGCCGGCAGCCCCGGCCCCCGCGGCCUCCCAGCCGCCGCGGGCGACGCCGGUGCCUCUCCGCUCGUGCGACGCCCCGGGAGGGCCGAGCCGGCGGCUCCCUGCCCUCCCUCCCGCGGGACGGAGCCGCGUCUGCCCGGGGGAAGAUGGGGAAAGGGGGAAGAAAAGGAAGGCUGUGACUGCUUACGCUUGUUGCAUACACAUGCAGACUUUUGUUUGUUUGUUUCCUUUUAAAAUGAUCAAAUUACUGUGAAAUCACAACUGGCACAGGCAGCCGUACGAGGUAACUAUGGUUCAGUGGUGCUUUCUCGGUAUCUCCCAGCGCAACUCAGCCUUGCCUAUUUCUGUAUCUGAAAUAUAAAAAGCCGCAAGUUGA